UGAGAAUAGCCUGCACAGAGAAGAUAAAGCAGUUCCUGGCAGGGAAGUGGAAGAGGGGGGCGUUAAAAUCAGAGUUUAAUGCUGAGCUUCAGAUAGAUCCUUCACUGGCAGAAUUAAUGUGCUGCUAUAUAUAGAAGCCUAGUGUUCCUAGGGGGAAACUUAAUGAUGCAAUGACGUCACUGCAGGUCAGCUCCAGACUGGUGGAAGUCAGUUGCAUGCAUCUGGCUGCAGAAUAUUAGCAGGAUUGGAAGGUACAAGCAGGGAAUCACAGUCUCUACACCAAGAAAAGGGCAGCUUUUCUAUGCAAUGCUUUGCAGUCACAUUCAGUUUAUUUACAGACUCUCUUCUACUAUCCCUAGAUUAGUCAUAUAGCUCAUAUAAUUGGAUACAAGAGCCUGAAAACGGGGAAGAAAAAGAGAAAUCCACAUCUAGACUUUGCCUUCUGAGCUGGAAUUUGUUAUGAGAUGAAUGGAUAAGGUGGAGUCAUUCAUCAAUCCACCAACCUGCCAAUUCCCCUGCAGCUUUUCUAAUCUCAGUAUGGAAUGGACACUUUCUGUACAGAGUGCAAUUGUCGAAAAGCCAAAAGGCAAAAUUUCACAUCCAGGUACAAGGUUUAAAACACAGAGGACAUCUUUACACCAUCAUCACUUCUUUGUCGCUCUCAAAGCUUUUUGCGGUCUGGGCUUGCUGUUCUUAAUCACAGUAGCCAGGAAGCCCUUAUCCCAAAAAGAAUUUGCGAGGGAGGAAUAUCUUCAAAUACAGUGAAGCUGGAAGCUAAAGCAAUGUAGUUCUAUGAUAUCUAUAAUUACUCUGUCAAUAAAGGAUAAGUAUUUAGGCUCAGUGUGCACCAAUAAUAUAACAGCUUCAGAUUUGUUUUAGAUUUAGGGCCCUUUCCCUCGUACGGGUCCCGUGAGGAUCCGUACCUUUCUUAUCUGCUUGCUCAGAGGGAAUCGUUCUGUUGAUCCCCGCUGAGCCGGCAGAUGACAGGGUGGUCCCCGCACACUGUGCAGGGACCGCCCUGUCAGAUCGU